rnacentral:misc_RNA from 1 species
AGUCGACUUGGUGGGUGAGGCUCGACGGAACGUUAUUUUGACCCCAGUAUUGGCAUAGUUGUGGUGUACAAGUUAGUGUUAGGGCGUGAUGUUACUCUGAGCUGGUACCCCGUUACCCUUUGGGGUCGCUAGGGCUGACAGAUCCCCUAGCUUACACUCAUAUUGUACACCCGCAAAACGCCAAUACAUAGGGUCAAAAAUCUAUAUUUUACAGCUGCCGUAUAUACCCUCUUGGGGGAUAUAUAUAUAGGCAGUUAAUUUUAGUCCUUAUCCAUAAUCAGUACUAAAAAAAUGUAUAAAUAUGUAUAUAAUUGUACUGUUAUUAUUUUCAGGCCUAUUAAGUGAAUGAGGUAAUGGUUGGAAGAGGGAUCGCUUGAAAGGAGCCUACUGGUGAUGUCGGAAUGUGGAGGAGACUACCGUUGUGAUGGCAUUAGUGGUGGACCGAUGAAACAAGUCUUAGACGAUGCCGAGCAGAAGGUAAUACCGGACUGAUUGGCAGGACCCCUGGGCUGUCUGGAAGGUGAACAGUGAGACGCUUCAACUUCAUUAUUCGUGAACACUUGGCAGCCUUGGGAAAGAAGAAAGGCAAAGAUGAAGGCAGUAAGAAGGAAGAAGAGGAGGUGGUUUCUGAUAAAAGCAAGGAUCAAGAUAAGGAUGAUGCAAUGUGUUGACUAACUGGUGUCCAUGGAUAUGAUUGCCUUGAAUGAUAGUUUUACCAUUGGAUACUUAUGCAUAGAUUUGUAAAGGGAGUCACUGUGGAAUUGUAUGUCAAAGGUAUUCCUCUAAUAUAUAUCAGUUAGGAGAUAGUGAUAUGUGCCAUUAUUACAUGUGUACUGUCAGCAUCACAUUGUCAAUAUUGUAAUAGUUGAUUUGUAAUGUACAAGUUGGGCUUUUAGAAUGUAGUUUGAUAAGUCUGAAACAGGAGAGUAAUAGAGCACAUUAAAUAAUAUACGCAAA